UUUUUUUUUUUUUUUUUUUGAGAUGGAGAUUCACUCUUGUUGUCCAGGCUGGAGUGCAAUGGCGCAAUCUCGGCUCACCACAAAGUCCGCCUCCCGGGUUCAAGUGAUUCUCCUGCCUCAGCCUCCCGAGUAGCUGGGAUUACAGGCAUGGACCACCAUGCCCAGCUAAUUUUGUAUUUUUAGUAGAGACAGGGUUCUACCAUAUUGGUCAGUCUGGUCUCAAACUCCUGACCUCAGGUGAUCCACCCGUCUCAGCCUCACAAAGUGCUGGGAUUACAGGCGUGAGCCACCGCACCUGGCCUAUAAUCUUAACGCUCAUUGGAUGUGUUGGUUUCUCUUGGAGCCAAAUUCAGUUUGCAUGUCUGCGUUAGUGGACAUGAUUUUGUUUGAAGUAACAAAACUCACUCAGUAAUAAAAAGAAGCUCUGGUCAGGAAGUAAUACAUAGUUACAUGCAAGUAAAACCAUUCAUUAAGUCCCACCUAGGCCUUCCAGUGACGCUGGCAUAGAUGUGUGUAUUUUCUGGUUCCUCCAGUGGGUAGAACUGGAGAAAAAUGAUUAGGAAAGUCCAGGCUUGGUUAAAGGAGGUGACAGUCCCCAAAUGCUAGCUUCCCAAACCCAUAGGGACAAGAAAGCAGAGGGGAUUUUGGCUAUCUUUAUACUGAAUUCAUCCUCCCAUAAAAUUCAUUUAGGGUCAAUCUGAAGUUUGAGCUUACACACCUAUUGCCUUUUUUCAAAGAUAAAUUAUCAUAUGCUAUAUGUCUGAGAUGCAUACUUUUACUUUCAAAAUAUUCAUUUCUCACCCUAGAAUCUUUUUCCCAAUUACGUUUUAGGUACGUUGUCUAGUCUAGAUCAACAAAUCACUGGCAUGCAACGGGAGAGUCUGGGAGAGAAGAAAUGUAAAUGAUGCAUUUUUUAUAACAUCUAUGUUACCAUUCAUAUCCAAGACUCCAUUUUCCAUAUUGUGGUAAAAACUAGAAAAAAUGACUACAUUUCAUAAGAAAGAUAAAGAUAGAAAUUCACUGUUGAUUGGGAACCUAAUCUAGGGAGGCACAGAUUGGAUUCUCAAGGUCCUUUCUCUGCUUCUUACAUGACCAGAGGGAGGUUGGCUGGUGGGAACACUGAACACAUCCCUGUAGGGUGGUCUUUGAGGUUACAUGAGGUCCUUUGGUGGAGGAUCAUAUGCCACAGGGUCCCAGUGACUAUGGGGUUUCCAAAGAGUUGAUUGGCUGGGCAUGAUUACACAUAUCCACCUGCUAAAUCAUAGCUCCAGAUGCAACAUCCAGCACUCAGAGGCCACAUGUGGACUUCUAGGUCACCAUGAUCACGCAUAGUA
ensembl:lncRNA